rnacentral:rRNA from 1 species
AGUGAACGCUGGCGGUAGGCCUAACACUUGCAAGUCGAACGGCAGCACAGUAAGAGCUUGCUCUUACGGGUGGCGAGUGGCGGACGGGUGAGGAAUACAUCGGAAUCUACUUUUUCGUGGGGGAUAACGUAGGGAAACUUACGCUAAUACCGCAUACGACCUACGGGUGAAAGCAGGGGAUCUUCGGACCUUGCGCGAUUGAAUGAGCCGAUGUCGGAUUAGCUAGUUGGCGGGGUAAAGGCCCACCAAGGCGACGAUCCGUAGCUGGUCUGAGAGGAUGAUCAGCAACACUGGAACUGAGACACGGUCCAGACUCCUACGGGAGGCAGCAGUGGGGAAUAUUGGACAAUGGGCGCAAGCCUGAUCCAGCCAUACCGCGUGGGUGAAGAAGGCCUUCGGGUUGUAAAGCCCUUUUGUUGGGAAAGAAAAGCAGCAGGUUAAUACCCCGCUGUUCUGACGGUACCAAAAGAAUAAGCACCGGCUAACUUCGUG